rnacentral:rRNA from 1 species
ACUCCUACGGGAGGCAGCAGUGGGGAAUUUUGGACAAUGGGCGAAAGCCUGAUCCAGCAAUGCCGCGUGAGUGAAGAAGGCCUUCGGGUUGUAAAGCUCUUUUGUCAGGGAAGAAACGGUGAAAGCUAAUAUCUUUUGCUAAUGACGGUACCUGAAGAAUAAGCACCGGCUAACUACGUGCCAGCAGCCGCGGUAAUACGUAGGGUGCAAGCGUUAAUCGGAAUUACUGGGCGUAAAGCGUGCGCAGGCGGUUUUGUAAGUCUGAUGUGAAAUCCCCGGGCUCAACCUGGGAAUUGCAUUGGAGACUGCAAGGCUAGAAUCUGGCAGAGGGGGGUAGAAUUCCACGUGUAGCAGUGAAAUGCGUAGAUAUGUGGAGGAACACCGAUGGCGAAGGCAGCCCCCUGGGUCAAGAUUGACGCUCAUGCACGAAAGCGUGGGGAGCAAACAGGAUUAGAAACCCCGGUAGUCCCAUGA